ACUCAAAUGAAUUGACGGGGGCCCGCACAAGCGGUGGAGCAUGUGGUUUAAUUCGACGCAACGCGAAGAACCUUACCCAGGCUUGACAUACUCUGUAAGCCGUAGAAAUACGGUCCUCCUAGCAAUAGGACAGAGAUACAGGUGCUGCAUGGCUGUCGUCAGCUCGUGCCGUGAGGUGUUGGGUUAAGUCCCGCAACGAGCGCAACCCUCGUCGUGUGUUGGUCCGCAAGGAUCUCUCACGCGAGACCGCCGGUGAGAAGCCGGAGGAAGGUGGGGAUGACGUCAAGUCAGCAUGGCCCUUACGUCUGGGGCUACACACGUGCUACAAUGGGUGCGACAACGAGUUCCAAGCUCGCGAGGGUAAGGCAAUCUCUUAAACGCAUCCUCAGUUCGGAUUGAAGGCUGCAACUCGCCUUCAUGAAGUUGGAAUCGCUAGUAAACGCAGAUCAGCUACGCUGCGUUGAAUACGUUCCCGGGCCUUGUACACACCGCCCGU
rnacentral:rRNA from 1 species